rnacentral:lncRNA from 1 species
CUCCUUUCAGGCAAUCCUGCUUGUGGCAUGCUUCAUCAUUUCUGUGUGUGCCAGAUGGUGUAUGGGAGGAAUAUCAGCCAGUGUAUUCACAUGCACAUCGGUGAUAACUAUUGCUUGUAAGUAACUUUUUCCCAAAUUGCUGCUCUGAUUUCUGUAUUUUGUUUGAAUUG